rnacentral:rRNA from 1 species
UACGGAGGGGGCUAGCGUUGUUCGGAAUUACUGGGCGUAAAGCGCACGUAGGCGGCUUUGUAAGUUAGAGGUGAAAGCCCGGGGCUCAACUCCGGAAUUGCCUUUAAGACUGCAUCGCUAGAAUUGUGGAGAGGUAAGUGGAAUUCCGAGUGUAGAGGUGAAAUUCGUAGAUAUUAGGAAGAACACCGGUGGCGAAGGCGGCCCACUGGAUCGGUACUGACGCUGAGGUGCGAAAGCGUGGGGAGCAAACAGG